rnacentral:lncRNA from 1 species
CUUCUACCAAUGUUGCUCAUCGUUACUGUGAAGUUUCAUUAAAUUUGGAGCAUUUCCAUAUUUUGGAAAUUUUUGGUGUAGUAUCCAUGGCAACAUAGCAGUUCCAAUGAUUGCCAAAAUCAUCCCAAAACCAGUGUAUAGUGGGCACCUACAUUGUAUCAAAAUCUAAAGAUUUUAAGCAUAACCAUUUUCAAAUAAUUGGCCGAACUCUAAAAUAAUAUUUUUUCACCAUUUUCUCGUUUCCAUGGUGAUGGCAGCCAUUUUUUAAUUCCAAAGUCAAAAAGUCUAAAGGAAAUUCAGGGUUCUUUGUUAUAGUGCACCAUCAUUCAGAUUGGUUCCUUUAGCUCUGAGAAAGCGGGCGGACAAAAUUAGGUGGAAGAAAAAUAAUAAUAACUAGAUUUGCCAUUGCAAGCAAUAGCGGAUGUCACCCUUCCCCCUAUUGCCACUAAGCGGCAGCCAUUUUCAAAUUUUCAAAGUCAUAAGUCUCAUCUUUACUUGUCAGUUAACAAUAAUAUCAAGUUUCAUUAAGUUCAAAGCAUUUUGAAAAUUUUUGACAUUUUCGCAGUUUCCAUGGCAACGGUGGCCAUUUUGGAAAUUCCAACUUCAAAAGUCUCAUGCAGACUUGACAGUCAACAAUCCUAUUAAGUUAUAUCAAUUUUGGAGUAUUUUGAAAUUUUUGAAAUUUUUGACAUUUUGAUUGGUUCCUAUGGCAACAGAGACCAUUCCCAAAAUUUAAUGGCAUAUACCACAUUGGUACAUGGGAGGGACCAUACCAUCAAAGUUUCAAUCAAUUUGACCUACCAUUUUAAGAAAGUAAAUGCCACUUUUAGGUUUUUUGAGCAUUUUGACCUGUUUUGCAUUGUUUCCAUGGUAACAGCAGAUAUUUUCGAAAUUCCAACGCCAAUUUCCACAUCUACCAAUGUUGGUCAUCGUUACUGUGAAGUUUUAUAAAAUAUGGAGCAUUUUCAUAUUUUUGAAUUUUUUGGUGUAGUAUCCAUGGCAACAUAGCAGUUCCAAUGAGUGCCAAAAUCAUCCAAAACCAGUAUAUAGUUGGCACCUACAUUGUAUUAAAAUCUAAAGAUUUUAAGCUUAAGCAUUCUCAAAUAAUUCAAGGAACUCCAAAAUUAUAUUUUUUCACCAUUUUUCCGUUUCCAUGGUGAUGGCAGCCAUUUUUUAGUUCCAAAGUUGCACAGACUCUGGGGAGUCAGGGUUCCUUGUUAUAGUGCACCAUCAUUCGGAUUGGUACUUUUGGCUCUGAGAAAGCGGGCGGACAAAAUUAGGUGGAAGUAUAAUAAUAAUAAUAAUACAGAAAAAGAAACAGAGGAAAAGCAAUAUGUCACCCGACAUUGUCGAUCGGGUGACAUAAUAAUAAUAAUACAGAAAAAGAAACAGAGGAAAAGCAAUAUGUCACCCGACAUUGUCGAUCGGGUGACAUAAUAAUAAUAAUAGGGAAAAAGAAACAGAGGAAAAGCAAUAUGUCACCCGACUUUGUCGAUCGGGUGACAUAAUAA